rnacentral:rRNA from 1 species
CCUACGGGGUGCAGCAGUGGGGAAUAUUGGACAAUGGGCGAAAGCCUGAUCCAGCCAUGCCGCGUGUGUGAAGAAGGCCUUCGGGUUGUAAAGCACUUUCAGUGGGGAAGAAAGCCUUGGGGCUAAUACCCUCGAGGAAGGACAUCACCCACAGAAGAAGCACCGGCUAACUCCGUGCCAGCAGCCGCGGUAAUACGGAGGGUGCGAGCGUUAAUCGGAAUUACUGGGCGUAAAGCGCGCGUAGGCGGUCUGAUAAGCCGGUUGUGAAAGCCCCGGGCUCAACCUGGGAACGGCAUCCGGAACUGUCAGGCUAGAGUGCAGGAGAGGAAGGUAGAAUUCCCGGUGUAACGGUGAAAUGCGUAGAGAUCGGGAGGAAUACCAGUGGCGAAGGCGGCCUUCUGGACUGACACUGACGCUGAGGUGCGAAAGCGUGGGUAGCAAACAGGAUUAGAUACCCGUGUAGUC